AUCACUUAAAAAAAAACGGAGAGAGAUGACGGAAUCAUAAUUAAUUUUACCGCACUCAAAAUCCAAAAUCACUAGUGCAGAAUUCGCAGGAGCAGUGAGCAAGCAAUUCAUCAAUGGCGCUUCAAUCAGCAUUCAAAGAAAGGCUUGGAUAUAUGGAGUCCACUCGUAAUCAAAGACUUUCUCUCCUCCAGGAUGAGAAAGACUUACAAAAGAGGAAAUCCCUAUUAUUAUCAGCUAAACACGCCAAAAUCAGAUUACUGGAACAAAGAUGUUUGAUCUUAGAUCAAAAAUUUGCAUCAGAUAACUUCAAAAUCUCGUCACUCAAAUCCGAAAUUGAGUUUUUGGAUCGUCAAUUUCUAUCCUGUGCUCAACAAUUGAGGGAUUUGAAGGUUGAGGUAGAGGGGCUUGAGCAAUUGGAGGAAGAGAGAGAUAAAUUUUACGCUCUCAAAUGUUCUGAAAUGAAUGAUUUUAAGAAGGAAAUUCAGAAGUAUGCUGAAGAAAUUGGUAGCAGAAUUAAGGAAUUGAAAUGUGGUAAUGAGAAGAUUUGUUUAUGGAAACAAGAAGUGUUGAGUAGUUGGGGGACACCGCGGUUGAUACUGACUGAAUAGGAAUCCUGAGCACCAAAGUUAGUGUGAGUUUUGAUUUUGUUCAAGUGGAGAAUAUUAACUCUGUGGCUUGCAUAAGGAAGUUCUUUAAUAAAGAAUAGCAACCGUGAGGCACAAACUCGUGACAUUCAAGCUGCUAAGGUGAGAAAGUCAGAACUUAUAGCUUUGAAGGAAAAAUUGACCAGUGACCUGGACUCUAAUAGACGUUUGAUAGCAACAUUGCAAGAGCAGCUUCAGAGUCUGUGGUGAUUUGAAAGUAGUAGGCUAGUGUACGUGGUAGAAAGAAAAGAGGUAACUGCUACCAUCAGAGAUUACGCCAGGCUAGUGUACAUGGUAGAAAGAAAAGAGGUAACUGCUACCAUCAGAGAUUACGCCGUAGCAUCCAACAGGGAUGCUCCGGAUCGAGUGGUACAAAAAUUCAUGCAUUGAUCAACAUUUUAUAAAAUCGGCACAUAGUUUAAUUUUGACAUGUGCUGUUUGAUAUCAUUGCUUAGAGAGAAGGAAAGAAACGAAUAUCUUAGUGACAGUCAGUGCCUCAGCAGGAAUCAUUUAUUAAGAAGUCAUUUGUGGAAAAGAAGCAUCCUCAAGCUCUUAGAGGAGAUUCAGAGUCGGUUCUAUAGAAAUGAAUAUGCUGAAACUUUCCUGGUUUGUGCUGCUUAGAUUUUCUUAAUAUGAAAAAUGAAUUCAGAAUUUGUUUUAAGCAAGAAACUGCAAUAAGAUUCAAACAAAAUAGAUAGGUUACAUUGUUAAACUGAAAGAUAAGAAAUUAACAACACUUACAUCAGUGAUAUACCACCUUUUUUUUUUUUUUUUUUUUUUAUUUAUUUUUAUUACUAUAUUCAUCCCCAUUAAUAACAACUUCAGUGAUACCAUGAUAUGAAA